UACUCCUACGGGAGGCAGCAGUGGGGAAUUUUGGACAAUGGGGGCAACCCUGAUCCAGCCAUGCCGCGUGAGUGAAGAAGGCCUUCGGGUUGUAAAGCUCUUUCGGCCGGGACGAAAUCGCUAUCUUUAAUAAAGGUAGUGGAUGACGGUACCGGAAUAAGAAGCACCGGCUAACUACGUGCCAGCAGCCGCGGUAAUACGUAGGGUGCGAGCGUUAAUCGGAAUUWCUGGGCGUAAAGCGUGCGCAGGCGGUUUUGUAAGCCAGAUGUGAAAUCCCCGGGCUYAACCUGGGAACUGCAUUUGGGAYUACAAGGCUAGAGUGUGUCAGAGGGGGGUAGAAUUCCMCKUGUAGCAGUGAAAUGCGUAGAGAUGUGGAGGAAUACCGAUGGCGAAGGCAGCCCCCUGGGAUAACACUGACGCUCAUGCACGAAAGCGUGGGGAGCAAACAGGAUUAGAUACCCUGGUAGUCCACGCCCUAAACGAUGUCAACUAGUUGUCGGAGGAGAGAUUCUUUGGUAACSCAGCUAACGCGUGAAGUUGACCGCCUGGGGAGUACGGCCGCAAGGUUAAAACUCAAAUGAAUUGACGG
rnacentral:rRNA from 1 species